UACGUAGGGUGCAAGCGUUAAUCGGAAUUACUGGGCGUAAAGCGUGCGCAGGCGGUGAUGUAAGACAGGUGUGAAAUCCCCGGGCUUAACCUGGGAACUGCAUUUGUGACUGCAUCGCUGGAGUGCGGCAGAGGGGGAUGGAAUUCCGCGUGUAGCAGUGAAAUGCGUAGAUAUGCGGAGGAACACCGACGGCGAAGGCAAUCCCCUGGGUCUGCACUGACGCUCAUGCACGAAAGCGUGGGGAGCAAACAGG
rnacentral:rRNA from 1 species